AUGGCCUGGGCCUCCAGCUUCCUCUCCACUGCUUGGACGGCAGCCCACACAGCCAAGCGGGUGAUCUCUGCCGUGGGGAGCGGCUGUUCCUUCUGGACUGCAGAAGAGAGAGUUUCUCGGGGGAGUCCAGCAGGGGCCUGACGUAAGGUUUCUUCUUGUGGAACACUGGGGAACGACAGAGGUGAUGAGCGUUGGUUCUCCAUGUCCAGCUGCUGAACCUGUGUUCAUGGAAGAAAGGAAAAGAGGAUUAAAGGCCACAGUCUCCAGCUAGCAAAAU
rnacentral:lncRNA from 1 species